rnacentral:sRNA from 1 species
GCAGUGAUGAAGAGGGGUUCGAUCGGUC